rnacentral:rRNA from 1 species
GUAGGUGGCAAGCGUUGUCCGGAAUUAUUGGGCGUAAAGCGCGCGCAGGCGGUCCUUUAAGUCUGAUGUGAAAGCCCACGGGCUCAACCGUGGAGGGUCAUUGGAAACUGGGGGACUUGAGUACAGAAGAGGAAAGCGGAAUUCCACGUGUAGCGGUGAAAUGCGUAGAGAUGUGGAGGAACACCAGUGGCGAAGACGGCUUUCUGGUCUGUAACUGACGCUGAGGCGCGAAAGCGUGGGGAGCAAACAGGAUUAGAUACCCUGGUAGUCCACGCCGUAAACGAUGAGUGCUAAGUGUUAGGGGGUUUCCGCCCCUUAGUGCUGCAGCUAACGCAUUAAGCACUCCGCCUGGGGAGUACGGCCGCAAAGGCUG